ensembl:snRNA U6 U6 spliceosomal RNA
AAGUUCACCUUGGCAACGUAUAAACUAAAAUUGGAAUGAUACAGUGAUUAGCAUGGCCGCUGCACAAGGAUGACACACAAAUUCGUGAAGCGUUCUGUACUUUU